UACGGGGGGGCAAGCGUUGUUCGGAAUUACUGGGCGUAAAGGGCGCGUAGGCGGUUAUUCAAGUCAGACGUGAAAUCCCUCGGCUUAACCGGGGAACUGCGUCUGAUACUGGAUGGCUUGAGUUCGGGAGAGGGAUGCGGAAUUCCAGGUGUAGCGGUGAAAUGCGUAGAUAUCUGGAGGAACACCGGUGGCGAAGGCGGCAUCCUGGACCGGCAUUGACGCUGAGGAACGAAAGCCAGGGGAGCAAACGGGG
rnacentral:rRNA from 1 species